rnacentral:lncRNA from 1 species
GCCAUCAUGUCGACGGCCAUGAACUUUGGGUCCAAGAGCUUCCAGCCGCGGCCACCGGACAAGGGCAGCUUCCCGCUGGAUCACUUUGGUGAAUGUAAAAGCUUUAAGGAGAAGUUCAUGAAGUGUCUCCGUGACAAUAACUUUGAAAAUGCUUUGUGCAGAAAUGAAUCAAAAGAAUAUUUAGAAUGCAGGAUGGAGAGGCAACUGAUGGCACAGGAGCCCCUGGAAAAACUGGGCUUUGGAGAUUUGAAGGACGGAAAGUCUGACCGAGACUGAACCUGGUGAAAGGCCGCACAGCUGUGGGGGGUCCGGACGACCCCGCCCCCGGCGGCUGGCGUGUUGGUACCACGGCUCGGGGUGGGGGGGCUCUGGGGGCGCCCGCCAGAUGCCGCUGGAAGUCAGAACGGACGCCCCUCCCCGAGGACGCAGCUCGUGGCCGGGCAGGGGCUGGUCUUCGACGCUCCCGAGGAUGUCGGAAACCCGUCGCCCCGCCACAGCCCUGCCGACCCCGCGGCGUUGGGUGCGUCUGAAGUCGCGGGUGUGACGGGCUCCCGCGGAGGUGGCUGCCAUGUGGCGUGCGCCCAGCGACUGGUCAGCUCGGGCUCCUGGGGACGCUGGUUCGCAUCGCGGUCUCGGCGCGUUUUGUGUGUGACGUGCGAAAGGGUCGCAGUGUCGUCGUUGGGCACAUGGGUCGUCGGGAAGUCGUCCCCCAGCACUCGGGUUCCUCUUCGUAUCUUGGACGCAGACACAAGUGCCCCUCACCUCCUUUUUUUAACAAGAACAGAGGACGAGCCCAGAAGUGGGAAAUGGGCUUUUGACGUAUCUGACGUCUCGAUUUUUUUUAUGGUGACGCCUGGCACCGAGUAUCUGUCUGAUCAAGGCUCGUUUUCUGGUUCAUAUCAGACCCUGCAGCUCCAAUUCGACCCCUGGCCUGGGAACCUCCAUGUGCCGCAGGUGCUGCCCUAAAAGACAAAAGACCCCCCCACCAAAAAAAAUGGGAUAGGGGAAGGAAUGGCUGAAACAUGACGGGGCUUCUUGAAGAACAGGUCUCGGAGCUCCCAUUGGCACAGCAUAAGUGGCGGAAACGGGGUAUAGCCCACAAAAUAAGCUCCUGUCCAGGAGUCCGUGCUGAUGGAAGCGAGUAACUAAGAGCCUCGGUGCGGGAAGGGCAGCCCCUCUGGGUUCCCGCCAGCCUGGGGGCAGGAGACGCCACCUGCAAGCCCGGGAGUGUCGGUGGCCUGGGAUGGGGGCAUGUGCUGUGCAGCAGCUUCGCUGGUCUGGAGGCCGCCCUGCAGGCACCUGCUCAGCAGUGAGGGGUCGGCGUGGUCCCCACGGCCCUACCCCCGCCACCUGACGCCCCGAGAAGGUGCAGGGUCACUUCUGCGGUUUUCUUGGCAGGACGGCAUCACCUCAGUGUAGUGAGAACACGCAGGCCAGCCGGGCCCGAGGGACAAACUGUGACGGGAAGACGGGUGCGCCUCAGAGGCGCCUGCCGGGGCCAGGGUCCUGGGAGGCCUGAGGACCCGCAGGCCAGGUGGCGCUCAGAGGCGGUCCUCUGGGGAAGGGUGCCCACACGCCGGCCUGUCUCUCUAACCUUUUGGAAAUCUGGAAUUAUUUCAAAAUAAAGAGU